GACGAACGCUGGCGGCGUGCUUAACACAUGCAAGUCGAACGGAAAGGCCCUGCUUUUGUGGGGUGCUCGAGUGGCGAACGGGUGAGUAACACGUGAGUAACCUGCCCUUGACUUUGGGAUAACUUCAGGAAACUGGGGCUAAUACCGGAUAGGAGCUCCUGCUGCAUGGUGGGGGUUGGAAAGUUUCGGCGGUUGGGGAUGGACUCGCGGCUUAUCAGCUUGUUGGUGGGGUAGUGGCUUACCAAGGCUUUGACGGGUAGCCGGCCUGAGAGGGUGACCGGCCACAUUGGGCCUGGGAUGGGGCCCAGAGUCCUACGGGAGGCAGCAGUGGGGAAUAUUGCACAAUGGGCGGAGGCCUGAUGCAGCAACGCCGCGUGCGGGAUGACGGUCUUCGGGUUGUAAACCGCUUUCGCCUGUGACGAAGCGUGAGUGACGGUAAUGGGUAAGGAAGCAACGGCUAACUACGUG
rnacentral:rRNA from 1 species